UUGGGAAAACCCAGGUGGCGAUGCGGCUCACUGGACCGUUGUUGACGCUGAGGAACGAAAGCGUGGGGAGCAAACAGGAUUAGAUACCCUGGUAGUCCACGCCGUAAACGAUGAGAACUAGCUGUCGGGGCUCUUAGAGCUUCGGUGGCGCAGCUAACGCAUUAAGUUCUCCGCCUGGGGAGUACGGCCGCAAGGUUAAAACUCAAAUGAAUUGACGGA
rnacentral:rRNA from 1 species